AGAGUUUGAUCCUGGCUCAGGAUUAACGCUGGCGGCGUGCCUAACACAUGCAAGUCGAACGAGGUAGCAAUACCUAGUGGCAGACGGGUGAGUAACGCGUGGUCAACCUACCGUUGAGUGGGGGAUAACUAGCCGAAAGGUUAGCUAAUACCGCAUACGAGUCUCGGGGGCAUCCCUGGGCCUUAAAAGGAGCAAUCCGCUCGAUGACGGGACCGCGUCCCAUUAGCUAGAUGGUGGGGUAAUGGCCUACCAUGGCUCCGAUGGGUAGCUGGUUUGAGAGAGCGACCAGCCACACUGGGACUGAGAAACGGCCCAGACUCCUACGGGAGGCAGCAGUGAGGAAUUUUCCGCAAUGGGCGAAAGCCUGACGGAGCGACGCCGCGUGUGGGAAGAAGGCCUUCGGGUCGUAAACCACUGUCGAAGGGGACGAUAAUGACGGUACCCUUGGAGGAAGCCCCGGCUAACUACGUGCCAGCAGCCGCGGUAAGACGUAGGGGGCGAGCGUUAUUCGGAAUUAUUGGGCGUAAAGCGCGUGUAGGCGGCUUGGUAAGUCCGCUCUGAAAGCCCGGGGCUCAACCCCGGGAGGCGGG
rnacentral:rRNA from 1 species